ensembl:lncRNA
CUGCAUUUUUGUUGCCGUGAUGGAAGACAUGAUUGAACACAUAAUAAUAACAACAAUGAUGAAUUAAUAUUUUCUAAAAAUUUAUUAAGUGGCAGACACCAGGCUUCAGCUCGUAGGGUUCACAACAACCCAUUUGUAAAUGAAGCUCAGAGGGGUUGAGCAAUACAUGGUGAGAGCUCAGGACCAGAACCUCUGUAAUGGACAAAAUCAUCAUUAAAUAUGGUUAUUUCUGGAUGGCACCAACAGUUUAAUAGUUACAGCUGAUUGUGAGGAAAUUUCCAGUUCCAGUGAUAUGCGGCUUUUUCAUUCAACAGAGUUAAAAUCUUGUUCUAAAGAGGACCUAGAGUUCCACAUUAAGAAACAACGGAAUGGGCCAGAGUAUUGAUACUGAUCAAUAAGCUUCAAGAGGUGGGAAGGAAUUAAUGGGCUUAGAGGUCCUUGGAGACUCUCCCUAAAUCAAGUGCACAGGUAUCUGCAGCAGCAGUUUUUUAUUCUCUGUGUGCCUGUGCCUUUCACUAUUUCUUGUUUUAAACCCAUGGUUCCAUCUAGAGAAAAAGACUGCCUUAUAUAUUGUACAUUUGUUGCACUCUCUUUGACAUGCCAUUUUUGGGGUCAUCAAAUAAAACUCUC